CACGGUGAGCUCUGAGCUGGUGCCCGUCGCCGUUCAGAUCUCGACGCCGGUGGUCCCCGUCCUGCGCGCACGCCGUCGCACGCACGCGCAGGGAAGGGACUGCCAUUUAUGCCCACGCCGCACGCACGGCGCGCCAGGGCGCACGCACGGCUUCCUGAGCUGUAUAUAUCUCAGGUCCCAAAACACUGAGCACAAGUAUAAACUAGUCUACUAGUACAAGUCUACAACAAGCAUGAAAGGCCAAGGCUUUAAUCAAACCGAGCAGGUCAGGGGCGAUGCCGGACAUGAUCGUGGCCAUGGGGGACAGGACGAGGAAAGCGAGGCCACAAGGAUCCAAGGAGCCAGUGGUUCUCGAGGCCGCUGUCCCCGGCCAGAGCUCCAACCAGUCGUGGAUCGCCAGUAUUAUACAACAUACACUAGCGAGCUAGCCGUGCGUGUGCAGUUCACACACCACAACCAACGAUACGACCACAGAAGCAAGUCUUCUCCUAUUAACAAGAUUGUUCAAGGGAUCAAUAAGGAGCAAAUCUAGCUAGCUAGUAACAAGGAUGAAGCUUGUUGGGAGCGGCAGCAAGAGGAGAGGAGGGCUGGGCAGGGCUCUCAAGGAGCACAAGGCCAGGCUCUACAUCAUCCGCCGAUGCGUCGUCAUGCUCCUCCGCUGGGAUGACUAGCUAGCUAGUCGCAUCUCGCAUGGCCAGAUGCCCAGAUGGUUGCCUUUUGAUCGUCCUGUCAAUUUUGGCUCUUGGUAUACCGAUUUCCCCCCCAUCAUGGAUUGGUGAUGGGUGAUGGAUUGGUCAUGGAUUGACCCUUUUUUGAUAGAUCUCCUGAUCUAUUAUUAUGUGUAGUGUACAAUAUAGAUGUUGAGGAUUGAGGUAGAUCGUACUGUAGGUGUUUAGGUAGUAGAGGUGAUUAAGGAGGGAACUGGAAUCAUGUCCUAAGGACAUGUUUUGCCUUGUAUAUGUUCAGUGGAAUCGCAAGGAAAAAUAUGACAUCGAUAUCGAA